ACAACAGCAUUUGUUUGAAAAAAGAAUAAAAAAACAACAGCAUUAUAUUUAAAGAUGAUUCAAUAUGACAAACAACAGAAAACAACAGCUUUAGUUUAGAAAAGAACAGAAAACAACAACAUUAGUUUCAAAUAAGAUACAAUCUGAAAAACAACAUCUGUUUAAGAAAAAGAACGGUAAACAACAGUAUUAGUCUUAAAGAUGGUACAAUAGGAGAAACAACAAAAAACAACAGCAUUAAUUUUAAAGAUGAUAAAUCUGAAAAACAACAGACAACAACAGCAUUUGUUUAAAAAAGAACAGAAAACAACAGCAUUAGUUUUCAAUAUGAUACAAUCUGAAAAACAACAGAAAACAACAGCAUUAGUUUUAAAGAUGAUACAAUCAGAAAAACAACAGAAAACAUCAGCAUUUGUUUAGAAAGAAAAUUAAAACAACAGCAUUAGAUUUAAAGAUGACACGAUAAGGAAAACAAGAGAAAAUGAAGUCCCAUUAAUAUGAAACUAAGUGUCAUUUACUACCAUAUUACUUUUCAACAGUACAAUGUUUUAAGUUAUGAAACAAAAAAGUAGCAUGCAUUCUGCCAAAUGAUCACUAAUACCCUAAAAAGCUAAGCUACAACAUAUAUAAUAUAUAAAAACUAAGAUAAGCACUUGCAAACAGCAUGUUAUGAUAUAUCAAUACACUAUUACAACUAUGAAACAGACAACAACAGCAUUUAUUUAAAACAAAGAACAAGAAACAAUUGCAUUGGCUUUAAAAAUGAUACAACCUGAAAAACAACAGAAAACAACAGCUUUAGUACUAAAGAUGAUACAAUCUGAAAAAAUAACAGACAACAACAGCAUUUGUUUAAUUAAAAAAGAACAGAAAUCAACAGCA